CCUAACCCUCCUACACCUCUUCUUCCCAAAGUAUCCAAUUCACCUAAUGCUUCGCCCCAUUUAACACCCCCUCCUAAGCUAAGACAUGCAGAGGUUUUAUUAAUCAAAUAGAAUUCCACCUUGAGAUGUAUCCACGUUCCUUUCCCACUGAUAGGUCUAAAGUGGGAUUUUUGAUGCAUUAACUUACUGACAAAGCACUUGAGUGGGCAAAUCCUAUUUGGGAGGCCAAUGGACCUAUGGUGCAUAAUUUCAAUAGCUUUCUUACGGCUUUUCGUAGAACUUUUGACACAACAAAAAGGUCAAAGAAUGCCGCAAGAGCAUUAAUGAGAAAUAAACAGGGUUUUAGGUCUGUGGCUGAUUAUGCUAUUCAGUU